rnacentral:rRNA from 1 species
GACGAACGCUGGCGGCGUGCUUAACACAUGCAAGUCGAACGGAAAGGCCCUGCUUUUGUGGGGUGCUCGAGUGGCGAACGGGUGAGUAACACGUGAGUAACCUGCCCUUGACUUUGGGAUAACUUCAGGAAACUGGGGCUAAUACCGGAUAGGAGCUCCUGCUGCAUGGUGGGGGUUGGAAAGUUUCGGCGGUUGGGGAUGGACUCGCGGCUUAUCAGCUUGUUGGUGGGGUAGUGGCUUACCAAGGCUUUGACGGGUAGCCGGCCUGAGAGGGUGACCGGCCAGAGUGGGACUGUGAUGCGGCCCAGGCUGCUACGGGAGGAAGGAGGGGGGAAUAUGGGACAAUGGGCGGACGGCUGAGGCAGCAACGCCGCGGGCGGGAUGACGGCCUUCGGGUGGUAAGCCAGUAUAGCCUGUAACGUAAAGUGAAUGAGGGUAAUUAGUGAAGAAGCACCGGCUAACUACAU